rnacentral:tRNA from 1 species
GGCCCUUUGACCGAAUGAUUAAAGGUUCCCGCCUGCAAAGCGGUGACAUGUGGGUUUGAUUCCCACAGGGGCUUCCA